rnacentral:rRNA from 1 species
UACGUAGGUGGCAAGCGUUGUCCGGAUUUACUGGGCGUAAAGAGCGCGCAGGCGGUCGUUCAAGUCGCGUGUGAAAGCCCCCGGCUCAACUGGGGAGGGUCACGCGAUACUGAUCGACUCGAAGGCAGGAGAGGGUAGUGGAAUUCCCGGUGUAGUGGUGAAAUGCGUAGAUAUCGGGAGGAACACCAGUGGCGAAGGCGACUCUCUGGUCUGUAACUGACACUGAGGCGCGACAGCGUGGGGAGCAAACAGG